rnacentral:rRNA from 1 species
CCUACGGGUGGCUGCAGUCGAGAAUCAUUCACAAUGGGGGAAACCCUGAUGGUGCGACGCCGCGUGGGGGAAUGAAGGUCUUCGGAUUGUAAACCCCUGUCAUGUGGGAGCAAAUUAAAAAGAUAGUACCACAAGAGGAAGAGACGGCUAACUCUGUCCCAGCAGCCGCGGUAAUACAGAGGUCUCAAGCGUUGUUCGGAAUCACUGGGCGUAAGGCGUGCGUAGGCUGUUUCGUAAGUCGUGUGUGAAAGGCGCGGGCUCAACCCGCGGACGGCACAUGAUACUUCGAGACUAGAGUAAUGGAGGGGGAACCGGAAUUCUCGGUGUAGCAGUGAAAUGCGUAGAUAUCGAGAGGAACACUCGUGGCGAAGGCGGGUUCCUGGACAUUAACUGACGCUGAGGCACGAAGGCCAGGGGAGCGAAAGGGAUUAGAUACCCGAGUAGUC